CACGCACUCAAGUUUGUCACAUACAUCAUCGACGCCGGCGGACGCGCCGAACUUCCUGCCCUGGGACAGCCACAAUCGCGCUUCACUUCAGCUCAGGAAGCGGUGCAAAAAGCACUGGACGGCGAAAUGAUCGUGACACGUCAGAUUAACGCGCUGGUCGACUUGGUCGUUAAAGAGCCGGAUCAUAUCACGCACAAUUUCCUGCAGUGGUUUGUUACGGAGCAGCUCGAAGAAGUUUCCAGCACCGAAACGUUGCUGCGCAUCGUGCAGCGCGCCGGCGAAGGCGGCUUGCUGCAUGUGGAAGAUUAUCUGGCGCGCGGCGGCCUGCAAGAGAAACAGAAGGCGCUGACGCCCGGCGAUUGAUGCGCGCAAAAAUCCCCGGGCGUCC
rnacentral:misc_RNA from 1 species